CGUGCAGGCGGUGUCGUAAGUGGUGCGUGAAAGCGCUCUGGCUCAACCGGGCGAGGCCGUGCCAAACUGCGGGACUGGAGGCAGGUAGAGGCGUGUGGAAUUCCGGGUGUAGUGGUGAAAUGCGUAGAGAUCCGGAGGAACACCAGUGGCGAAGGCGACACGCUGGACCUGACCUGACGCUAAGACGCGAAAGCAUGGGGAGCGAACG
rnacentral:rRNA from 1 species